GUAAAUUCUCCAGGCAUAGGAUCCUGGGAGAGGUCAGAGUUCAUCUGUGCGAUAUGGAAAUCUCAUACCCUCUUGAAGUCAUCAAGGACCUACAGGCACCACAGAAGGACCUGGUUGGAGAGGUGCUUCUCUUUAUGAAGUAUCUCCCCACCCUCCAGAGGCUAGAGGUUGGUCUGCUGAAAAUCAGGGCACCACCUCAGCCAAGUAAAAAAAAUCAAGCACUGUAUGGCAAGAUCAGUGUCCUCUGCAACCAGUUCAAGCUGCGGCACCAGAAGUCCACUGUUAAGACCUGGAGGGAAGUGACCGUCUUCAACGAAGUCAUGAUGUUCACACUGCCAGACCCACAGAUCAGGGAGUGCUGCAUUGUGGUCUCAGUGUACGAGAUCCCUGCAGCCAAGAAGUCAUCCAAACGCCUGGUUGGCCAGGUCACCUUUGGAAAGGGAAAGAGCUCAGAGGAUGAACACUGGAGUUUGAUGAUGCGAUCAAUUCGUCAGCCAAUAGCAAAG
ensembl:lncRNA